rnacentral:rRNA from 1 species
UACGAGGGGGGCAAGCGUUGUUCGGAAUUACUGGGCGUAAAGCGCACGUAGGCGGAUUGUUUAGUCAGGGGUGAAAUCCCGAGGCUCAACCUCAGAACUGCCUUUGAUACUGGCAAUCUCGAGUCCGGAAGAGGUGAGUGGAAUUCCUAGUGUAGAGGUGAAAUUCGUAGAUAUUAGGAAGAACACCAGUGGCGAAGGCGGCUCACUGGUCCGGUACUGACGCUGAGGUGCGAAAGCGUGGGGAGCAAACAGG